rnacentral:rRNA from 1 species
UGAGGAAUAUUGGUCAAUGGACGGAAGUCUGAACCAGCCAUGCCGCGUGAAGGAUGAAGGCGUUCUGCGUUGUAAACUUCUUUUAUCUGGGAAGAAACCACAGAUUUCUAUUUGUGUUGACGGUACCAGAUGAAUAAGCACCGGCUAACUCCGUGCCAGCAGCCGCGGUAAUACGGAGGGUGCGAGCGUUAUCCGGCUUUACUGGGUUUAAAGGGUGCGUAGGCGGGCUAUUAAGUCAGAGGUGAAAUCUCCGGGCUCAACCUGGAAACUGCCUUUGAUACUAUUAGCCUUGAAUUAUGUUGAGGUUGGCGGAAUAUAACAUGUAGCGGUGAAAUGCUUAGAUAUGUUAUGUAACACCAAUUGCGAAGGCAGCUGGCUAAACAUAUAUUGACG